UCCUGACACACUUGUCAAAAUCAGCUGGCCACAGAUGAAAGGAUUUGCUUCUGGACACUUAAUCCUACUUGGUUGAUCUGUGUGUCUCCAUGACAGAAAUGAGCUGUUUUUGUUACUGUAACUUCUGAAAUCAGGAAGUGUUAUUUACUUUUUUAAAAAAUAUUGUUUGGGCUCUUUGGGGCCACUUAAUUUUCUACAUCACAUUAAGGACAGACUUUUUGGUUUGUUCAUAAAAGGCUAUUGGACUUCUAAUGGUUACUUCACUGAAUCUGUAGGUAAUCUUGAGCAUCAUUAAGUCUCAAUCCAGAGCAAUCUAUUUUUAAGAUCUUUAAAUUCUUUCCAUACUGUUCUAUAGGUUUUAGUUUACGAUGUAUUUUUAAAAUUUUUGUUAUUUUGGAUGUUGUAAUGAAUUUUCCACUUAAUUUCUUUUUCAGAUUGUUCAUUGCUGGUGUAUAAAAAUACAACUGAUGUUUUCCCUGUUGACCGUAUGGCCUACAUCUUUCCCAAUUAACAUAGUAGAUUGAGUCUUACUGUGUGGUUGGCCUGGAACAAAUUAUGUAGAUCAGGUUGGCCUUGAACUCGCAGAGAUUGGACUACCUGUGCCUCCCAAGUGCUGGGAUUAAAGAGUAAACAUCCACAGUGGCUAGAAUGUUCUUGGAUCCAUAGCUUGUGAGGAAGAAGAAAUAAAUUCCAAUGUAAGACAGUCUGGAAUAAAAGCCACGGUGAAUUGAGUGUGUACAUGGGGAGCCUCUGGUCCUGCCCACAGCCCACCUGCAACAUUCCUCCUAGAGUGCAGGCUUGGAAUGUCCUCAGUUGUCAAAAUAUGGUUAUAAAAACAAGCAUUCACAUCCAGACUCCACAAUCUGAAACUGUUCAGGGCACUGACAUGGUGUUACAAAUGGAAAAUUCAUCACCUCAAGUGAUCGAUCAGUUCAGAUAAGCUAACUGAAAAUUGUAUAAAAUUACAAUAAACUGUGUAUAACUU